rnacentral:rRNA from 1 species
AUUAGAUACCCCAGUAGUCAAAGCAGAAAAUGAUGAAUGUCAUAGAUUAGAUAAACAAUUUAUUCUAUAAAUGAAAGUGUAAGCAUUCCACCUCAAGAGUAAUUUGGCAACAUUGGAACUGAAAUCAUUAGACCGUUUCUGAAACCAGUAGUGAAGUAUGUUGUUUAAUUUGAUAAUACGCAAAAAACCUUACCACAAUUUGAAUAUUUAUAUAUAUCUUUAUUGGUUUUUACUAAUAUAUUUGUAGAUAAUUAAAAUGAUGCUUAUACCCCGUUUGUGAGACUAAGCAUCAAAAAAGAUAAUAUAUUUACAAGCGUUGCACGGCUGUCUUCAGUUAAUGUCGUGAGAUUUUGGUUAGUUCCAUUAAAUUAACGUAAACCCUUACUUUAUUUUUAUAUAAAGUAGUUCUCCGCUAUAUUGGAUAUGAUAACAGGGACUAAGACAAG